rnacentral:rRNA from 1 species
GACGAACGCUGGCGUCGUGCCUAAUACAUGCAAGUCGAGCGAACGGACUAGAAGCUUUCUUCUCUGAGGUUAGCCGCGGAUGGGGGUGUAACAUGUGGAUAACCGACCUAUAAGACUGGGAUAUCUGCGAGAAACCGUAGCUAAGACCGUAUAAUAUUCUGAACCACAUUGUUCAAAAGUUAAUGACGGUCUUGCUGUCACUUAUAGAUUGAUCCGCGCUGCAUUGGCUAGUUGUUAAUGUAACGGCUUACCAAGGCAACGAUGCAUAGCCGACGUGAGAGGGGGAUAGGCCACAGGGGAACUGAAACACGGUCCUGACGACUACGGGAGGGAGCAGUAGGGAAUCUUCCGCAAUGGGCGAAAGCCUGACGGGACAACGCCGCGUGCGUGGUGAAGGUCUUCGGAUCGUAAAACUGUGUUAUUAGGGAAAAACAGAUGUGUAAGUAACUGUGCAGCUCUUGACGGUACCUAAUAAGAAAGCAACGGCUAACUACGUG